rnacentral:rRNA from 1 species
UACGUGAGGGGCGAACGUUGUUCGGUGUCACUGGGCUUAAAGGGCGCGUAGGUGGCUGUAUAAGUAAGGUGUGAAAGCCCUCGGCUUACCCGGGGAAUUGCGCCUUAUACUGUAUGGCUUGAGGAUCUCAGGGGAAGGGGGAACUCCAGGUGUAGCGGUGAAAUGCGCAGAUAUCUGGGGGAAGGCCGGCGGCGAAGGCGCCCUUCUGGGAGAUUCCUGACACUGAGGCGCGAAAGCGUGGGGAGCAAACAGG